rnacentral:rRNA from 1 species
AUUGAACGCUGGCGGCAGGCCUAACACAUGCAAGUCGAGCGAGCGGCGGACGGGUGUGUAAUGUCUGGGAAACUGCCUGAUGGAGGGGGAUAACUACUGGAAACGGUAGCUAAUACCGCAUACCAUCAGAUGGGCCCCCAUGGGAUUAGCUAGUAGGUGGGGUAACGGCCCACCUAGGCGACGAUCCCUAGCGGGUCUGAGAGGAUGACCAGCCACACUGGAACGGAGACACGGUCCAGACUCCUACGGGAGGCAGCAGUGGGGAAUAUUGCACAAGGGGCGCAAGCCGGAUGCAGCCAUGCCGCGUGUGUGAAGAAGGCCUUCGGGUUGUAAAGCACUUUCGGCGGGGAGGCGUUACCCGCAGAAGAAGCACCGGCUAACUCCUUGCCAGCAGCCGCGGUAAUUC